AAUUUGAAUGGAUUAAUUUAGCUUCUUCAAUAAUACGCAUGAUAAAAUUUCUCAUUAAGUCGAAGAAAAGAUUGGAACAAUCACAUAAGUACUCUUGAAUAGUAAGUAAUUGAUUUAAGUACCAAGAUCAAAUAGCAGAGUUGGUGAAUCCGUCUUUGAGUGAGAUGUGUGAGACGCUUAAUAAAAUAGAAUGUGUAUUUUUCUUUUAAUGCAUGCAUCUUUGAGGUCGUUGAGAGAUUCUCGACAAUAUUCACUAACCAUCUUAUGAUCAACGUUAGACGUUGAUCAUGCGAUAAUUGAAUGUAGGCAGGAUGACCCAAGGGUGGGAGCAACUUCAAAGUGUGUGCCUUUGCAGUAAAGCCCGUUUGCAUUAAGUUCCUUUUUUGCGUACC
rnacentral:lncRNA from 1 species